rnacentral:lncRNA from 1 species
UUUUGGGAAGGUGUUUGGGAAGAUUCUCCCUUUUCUUGCCCUGAUGAAGAUGGCAAUUCAAGCGAGAGAUAUUCAAUUUCCUUUUGGAGUCUGUGGAGUCUUGCAAUUUUUUGAAGGUGAAGGUCUUCUUCAAUUAUAUUCUUGAUUUCUUGGAAUUUGUCAGGUUCAACUGUUUGUUGGCUAGCAAGCCAUUUUUGGAUUUGGUUUUGUUCUUCAUUUUCUUCGACGGCUUCCACCCAAGAUCGGA